UUGGGGUGUCGCCAAGCGGUAAGGCAGCGGACUUUGACUCCGCCAUCGCAGGUUCGAAUCCUCCCACCCCAGU
rnacentral:tRNA from 1 species